rnacentral:rRNA from 1 species
GACGAACGCUGGCGGCGCGCUUAACACAUGCAAGUCGAACGGAAAGGCCUGCUUUCCCUUGUGGAUUGCGGGUACUCGAGUGGCGAACGGGUGAGUAACACGUGAGUGAUCUGCCCCCAACUUGGGUAUAAGCCUGGGAAACUGGGUCUAAUUCCCGAUAGGACUGCAGGGUGGUGCCUGUGGUGGAAAACGAUUUUCUAGUGGUUGGGGAUGAGCUCGCGGCCUAUCAGCUUGUUGGUGGGGUAAUGGCCUACCAAGGCGGCGACGGGUAGCCGGCCUGAGAGGGUGGACGGCCACAUUGGGACUGAGGUACGGCCCAGACUCCUACGGGAGGCAGCAGUGGGGAAUAGUGCACAAUGGGCGGAAGCCUGAUGCAGCGACGCCGCGUGGGGGAUGACGGCCUUCGGGUUGUAAACUCCUUUCGACCGCGAGGAAGCCACCUGGUUGGAAGGGUGGUGACGGUAGUGGUAGAAGAAGCACCGGCUAACUACGUG